GUGAUGGUCCCUACGGAUGCUAACACAAUGUGAGUUAUGCCCAGUUCUCUGCAUGUCAAAGUGAAGAAAUUAAACCAAGCGCGGGUAAACAAUGGGAUUAACUAUGACUCUCUUAAGGUAGCCAGACGCCUCAUCAUCUAAUUAGUGACGCACAUGAAUGGAUUAAUGAGAUUCCCACUGUCCCAAGCUACUAUCUAGAAAAAUCACAACCAAGGGAAUGAGCUUGGAAAAAUUAGUGGGGAAAGAAGACCCUAUUGAGCUUAACUCUAGUCCGCCUUUGUGAAAUGAAUUGAGAGGUGUAGAAUAAGUGGGAGUUGUUUUCAGUGCCAAUGAAAUACCACUACUUUUAACAUUAUUUUACUUAUUUCAUGGGGAAGAGACGAGCCAUUGCACAUAUGUUAAAAUACAAUGCACAUUUCCUCAAAGUGUUUUCAUUGAUGGAAAUGGUCGAAAGCUCAUUCUUUACAUAGUUGAUGGAAAUGAGUUUAGGAAACCAAAGAGGAUCAUUGCUUUUAAGGAUGAAGAAAGUUCCUAUAACAAUCCCUGUGUUUUUAGCCAACAUCUCCCUAUAAGUUUAUGUGUUAUGGUUCCUCCUUGUAAAUUGGUGACUUGAGUCCUCAUAGACUUAGAGAGUGGGUGGCUUAUGAUUCCAAAUUCUUUAGCCCUUGAUAGAAUUUCAUUUUCCAUUACGUGAGUAGCGUGCAUCCUCAAGUUAUAGACACACUGGAGCCAUGGAUUCCCAAUGAUUGUCAAGCAUUGAAAGAUAUAACCAUGCAAGAACAAUUUCAUGGGUAUUACCAUAAUCAAUUCAUAUUUGUAAACCAUGUUUUGCUCAAAUGCACAUUCAUGGUCAAUUGGA
rnacentral:ncRNA from 1 species